rnacentral:tRNA from 1 species
GUGGAUAUAGCUCAGUGGUAGAGUGCAUGCUUAGCAAGCAUGAGGUCCUGGGUUCAAUCCCCAGUACCUCCA